rnacentral:rRNA from 1 species
CUACGGGCUGCAGCAGUAGGGAAUAUUGCGCAAUGGAGGCAACUCUGACGCAGCCAUGCCGCGUGCAGGAAGAAGGCCUUAUGGGUCGUAAACUGCUUUUAUUUAGGAAUAAACCCCCGAACGUGUUCGGGGCUGAAGGUACUAAACGAAUAAGCACCGGCCAACUCCGUGCCAGCAGCCGCGGUAAUACGGAGGGUGCAAGCGUUAUCCGGAUUUAUUGGGUUUAAAGGGUGCGCAGGCGGGCUAUUAAGUCAGUGGUGAAAUCCCGGGGCUCAACUCCGGAACUGCCAUUGAUACUGAUAGUCUUGAGUUUGGUUGAAGUGGGCGGAAUGUAGCAUGUAGCGGUGAAAUGCAUAGAUAUGCUACAGAACACCAAUCGCGAAGGCAGCUCACUAAGCUAAAACUGACGCUCAUGCACGAAAGCGUGGGGAUCAAACAGGAUUAGAUACCCCGGUAGUC